GGUGGCUCAGUGGUUAGAGCGCUUGUCUUGCAUGCAUGAGGCCCUGGAUUCGAUUCCUCAGCACCA
rnacentral:tRNA from 1 species